GGGGUGGAUGUGGCCGAACCCCGCCGCGCAGAGGUCAGGACGUCCUGCAUGUUUCCUGAAACAGUGACGCCCGCGGCGCGACAGCCGGGAGGCGGCGUGGGAAAGGGCCUGGGUACUGUCCCCGCUUAGCACUGACCCGCUCCGUGACUGUAUGUUUCCGAUUUCAGGUGUAGGUAUACUUUAAGGUUAAUAAUAAGCUACAAUAGGUGCUGUGUAAUAAUCUUAAGUUACGGAAUGAAACAUUUCCUUUUACUAAAUGUGGGUUUUGAAAAGUGCUUGAAUUAGAAUAAGCAAGAAAAAAAAUGGUCACUUAGGUAACAAUUUCUAAAAGCCAUGUAAUGUAUACAGGGUGGGGCAAAAGUAGUUUCCAGUUACUUAUAUGGCAAAUAAUACAAUCAUUAAGAAUACAUGUAUACAAGAAUAAACUUUCGAGUAGACCUUUUCCCCACCCUAUAUACAUGCUGGAAUAAUAAAAAUUCAACUACAGUAUUAUGUGAAAAUCAUAUUGCCCACUUUGCUCCUAUGCCAAAAGAAACGGCAUAAAAACAGGCAAAACAAAAAUUUUUAAUUUGGGAUUUUGCUUCAGGUUUUGCUCUCUUUCAGGGAAAAUUGCUGAGACUUUGGAGGGGUGAAAGGAUGAGGAAACCCUUUAACUUCAGAUGCAAUUUAAGAUGGGAAAUAUUAUGGUCUUCCAUGAAUUCUUAGGCAGGGGGGAGAUCAGUCUCUGGAACCAAACCGGCAGUGUCUCCGAGGUGUGCCUGUACCUUCUUUUCCUGUGGCACAGCGAUUGCCUCAGUUUCAGAAGCCCUUUGGGUACCUACUGAUGGGAAGAAGGAGAGAACUACGGACUUUCUCUGCAGGUUUACAAAUUCUAGUUUGAUUUAUUUCAGUUACAAGUGACAAAAAUUAUGAUUUAAAAUGGCUUCUGCUUAAAUAAAAAGGGAGUUUAUUGGCUGUUACUGACAGUCCCGGGAGUAGCCUGGGCUCUGGGCACUCAAACAGUGUAUGGAAAUCAGGCAGCCUGUUUCUCCUCAUCGCCGGACUUGGCUUUCUCUGCGUUAGCUUCGAUCUUGGGCAAGCUCUUCCUACAGAGCGGCAAAAUGGUUCCUAGCAACACAUGGCAUGCGUCCAUCAGAAUUUAUUUUUCUGAGAGUUUCUGCCAGUGUCUGAGGUUCUGUUAAAAAUCGAUUGGUUUUGUUGGGUCAUGUGUAUCCCUUAAAUAAACACUCACACCAAGGGUA